rnacentral:rRNA from 1 species
CCCUUAGAUGUUCUGGGCUGCACGCGCGCUACACUGACGCACCCAGCGAGUCUCCUGCCCUGACAGGGUUGGGUAAUCAUUGGAGUGUGUGUCGUGAUGGGGAUAGAGUAUUGCAAUUAUUGCUCUCGAACGAGGAAUUCCUAGUAAGCACAAGUCAGCAGCUUGUGCUGAUUACGUCCCUGCCCUUUGUACACACCGCCCGUCGCUCCUACCGAGGGGGUGAUCCGGUGAAUGAUUCGGACUUUGGCGUUUCUAGCUGCUAGCAGCGCUGAAGAAAGUUUUGUGAACCUUAUCACUUGGAGGAAGGAGAAGUCGUAACA